rnacentral:rRNA from 1 species
UACGGAGGGUGCGAGCGUUGUCCGGAAUCACUGGGCGUAAAGGGCGCGUAGGUGGCCCGUGGAAGUCUGCGGUGAAAGCCCGGCGCUCAACGCCGGGUCGGCCGUGGAUACUCUCGGGCUUGAGCUUACUAGAGGCAGAUGGAAUUCCUGGUGUAGCGGUGGAAUGCGCAAAUAUCAGGAGGAACACCGAUGGCGAAGGCAGUUCCCUGGGCCGUAACUGACGCUGAGGAGCGAAAGCGUGGGGAGCGAACAGG